rnacentral:rRNA from 1 species
CGAACGGGUGAGUAAUACAUCGGAACGUGCCCAGUCGUGGGGGAUAACUACUCGAAAGAGUAGCUAAUACCGCAUACGAUCUGAGGAUGAAAGCGGGGGACCUUCGGGCCUCGCGCGAUUGGAGCGGCCGAUGGCAGAUUAGGUAGUUGGUGGGAUAAAAGCUUACCAAGCCGACGAUCUGUAGCUGGUCUGAGAGGACGACCAGCCACACUGGGACUGAGACACGGCCCAGACUCCUACGGGAGGCACAGCC